UACGAAGGUGGCAAGCGUUGUUCGGAUUCACUGGGCGUACAGGGUGUGUAGGCGGUUUGGUAAGCCUUCUGUUAAAGCUUCGGGCCCAACCCGGAAAGCGCAGAGGGUACUGCCAGGCUAGAGGACGGGAGAGGAGCGCGGAAUUCCUGGUGUAGCGGUGGAAUGCGCAGAUAUCAGGAGGAACACCCAUAGCGAAGGCAGCUUGCUGGGACGUUACUGACGCUAAGGCGCGAAAGCGUGGGGAGCGAACAGG
rnacentral:rRNA from 1 species